ACUGGUUGUCCCUCCUCCUCUUUAAUUUAGCUAUGGUAGACUGGUUCUCCCUCUUCCUCCUCCUCCUCUCUAAUGUAGCUGUACUAGACUGGUUAUCUCUCCUCCUCCUCUCUAAUGUAGCUGUACUGGAUCGGUUCUCCCUCCUCCUCUCUAAUGUGUCUAUAAUAGACUGGUUCUCGCUCGUCCUCCUCUUUAAUGUAGCUGUACUAUACAGGUUCUCCCUCCUCCUCUCUAAUGUAUCUAUACUAGACGGGUUUUCCCUCCUCCUCUCUAAUGUAGCUAUAGUAGACUGGUUCUCCCUCCUCCUCCUCUCUAAUGUGUCUAUACUAGACUGGUUUUCCCUCCUCCUCUCUAAUGUAUCUAUACUAGACUGGUUUUCCCUCCUCCUCCUCUAUUAUGUAGCUGUACUAGACUGGUUCUCCCUCCUCCUCCUCUCUAAUGUAGCUGUACUAGACUGGUUCUCCCUACUCCUCCUCUCUAAUGUAGCUAUACUAGACUGGUUCUCCCUCCUCCUCCUCUCUAAUGUAGCUAUACUAUACUGGUUCUCCGUCCUCCUCCUCUCUAAUGUAGCUAUACUAGACUGGUUCUCCAUCCUCCUCUCUAAUGGAGCUAUACUAGACUGCUUCUCUCUCCUCCUCUCUAAUAUAGCUGUACAUGACUGGUUCUCCAUCCUCCUCUCUAAUGUAUCUAUACUAUACUGGUUGUCCCUCCUCCUCCUCUCUAAUGUAUCUAUCAUAGACUGGUUCUCCCUCCUCCUCCUCUUUAAUGUAGCUGUACUAGACUGGUUCUCCCUCCUCCUCCUCCUCCUCUCUAAUGUAGCUAUACUAGACUGGUUCUCCCUCCUCCUCUCUAAUGUAUCUAUACUAGACUGCUUCUCCCUCCUCCUC
ensembl:lncRNA